GUGCUCUGAAGAUGAACCCAGAGACUCAAGCUGUGGCUGGUGAGACGUUUGUCAGUUGGGAACAAGGCUAGGUAUCGAAAUGAAACAAAAUAAAGUUUCCUGUGACCUGUUCCCUCACUGUGAUGAUUUAGCACUCAAUAAAUUGUCUGCUGUAACCAGCUAUGAAAAGUGCAAUGACAUCAUAUUUACAAGGAGUCAAGGAUUUUGUCCUGGUUAAUCAUACAAAAUUCCCUUGUGAUCUGUGCCAAUACCUACAGUUAUUCUGAAAAAUGAUUACUAUUGAGCAAUCGACAGUCAAUACUAGGAAGUUAUGUGACUGUGAUAUAUACUGUGUGUACAAAAUAUAUGCCUAUGAUGUUCUUACACAAGAAUAUACACUUUACACAGCUUAAUAUUUAACUAAAACAUUUUAUGUACAAAACCCUAAGGGAAGUAAAUACAGUUAUAUUUUUAAUAUAAGUAAAUUGAUUGCAACUAAGCAGUUUAAGUUAACAAAGCAUUGGAAUUGCCAUGAAACUAAUUGUUGCAUGAACACUUUUUACUUGAUUUUAUGAGUGUAGAAAAUAUCUCUGAUUCAUGUGGAAAGCUGAGAUUACAGUUUUAAGUCCUGUCAUUAGACUAUUUGACUAUAUGUCUCUCUAGCUAUGUGUCAGACCUUUCAUGAAGUGUCCAAGAUCUAGAGGUCACACAAUGAGCAACUGUUAGAUGUUAUAUCUAUUGUCCUUAUGAUAAAUGUUUUUUAGACUAUGUAGGUACCUAUACAAGAUGCACUCUAUUAUUCUUGAUACCAUAUGGAGCUAGGUAUAAUCAAAUUAAACUAGCUCCUUAGUACCUUAGAAAGCUGUCUAAUAUCUGGAUUUAUUUCUUUACCCAAUAAGAAAUAAUGUCAAUAUAUCACCUAGUGUGACUUAUUUUGGUGGCUAAUUGAAAGUAAAGGGUUAUAAAUAUACUUUUUGAAGAUAUUCAUUUACUAUACAGUAAUAGUUUAUCGACCUGCUGGGGCAACCGUGUGGAAAUGAGUUAUCUGUGGGAUUAUGGAAGGAGCCUAUUAAUAGAAUACAUUACAUUAAUUUUAUUCACCUUAAUGGUGGUCUUUAUAUUUAAAGACGUUUCUUUCCGAUUUACCAGACUGACAUAUUUCUGAGAAAAUACAACACAGCUAUCUCAAUUAUAAACCGCUUUGGUGAACUGAAAUACUACUGUACAGUAUUUUUACCUCAAAACAAUGUUGAGGAACAAUUGGCAUUGGUGUGAAACGAGACAUUACAAUAUUAGUCUUAAAUAUUAUAGAUGAACUGUGUCAUAGCUGAUUGAGAGAUAACUAUAUAAGAUUUCGGAGAUUAAACGUAAAUUAAACAACGAAUAUUUAGAAAUUUCCUGCAUCAUUUUGGAACUCAUAUACCGAGUUAUUGGAGUCGCGCAGAUGAAAUAUGUGAACGCUAUAUAUAUCCUGGUGUAGUAACCCAGAUAUUUUUUCUACAUAGAUGCUUGCACAUUUUCUUUGAUGAAUUAUUUUAUCUAUGCUUUCCUUCCAUUCGAAAUGAAAUUUAAGGUACCUAUUAAAGUUUUAGGAAAAGCAGAAGACAUGGCAAUAACCAUAUUGUACACAGUUUUUACAAAUACUUACAUGUUACAUACAAUUGUAUAGAUUUGAGCCCCAGCUCACAUUUAUAAAAACUUAUUCCAUU